CGGACGGGUGAGUAACGCGUGGGUAACCUGCCUCAUACAGGGGGAUAACAGUUAGAAAUGACUGCUAAUACCGCAUAAGACCACAGCACCGCAUGGUGCAGGGGCAAAAACUCCGGUGGUAUGAGAUGGACCCGCGUCUGAUUAGGUAGUUGGUGGGGUAACGGCCUACCAAGCCGACGAUCAGUAGCCGACCUGAGAGGGUGACCGGCCACAUUGGGACUGAGACACGGCCCAA
rnacentral:rRNA from 1 species